rnacentral:rRNA from 1 species
CAGUAGCCGCGGGAAUACGGAGGGUGCAAGCGUUAAUCGGAAUUACUGGGCGUAAAGCGUGCGUAGGUGGUGGUUUAAGUCCGUUGUGAAAGCCCUGGGCUCAACCUGGGAAUUGCAGUGGAUACUGGGUCACUAGAGUGUGGUAGAGGAUAGUGGAAUUUCCGGUGUAGCAGUGAAAUGCGUAGAGAUCGGAAGGAACAUCUGUGGCGAAGGCGGCCCCCUGGACAAAGACUGACGCUCAGGUGCGAAAGCGUGGGGAGCAAACAGGAUUAGAUACCCCCGUAGUCCCUGUCUCUUAUAC